UUUGCUGUUUGAAUAACCAAGCCCGGGAGCCUGUGCCAUGGGGGGAAAUGUUUAGUCUGAUGAAGAGAACCCCAUGAGUCCAGCAUCUUCUCGAGACCACGGCUUCUGGCCAGAGCUUAUUUAAGAGAGCAGAAGUAAAAAGGACUCAUCCAUCAGCUGAUGAAUGUCUACUGUUUAACUAAGAGUUCCUGCUCAACUGGCCUGGCUCUCAGCCUGGACCAGCGGUGUCUGGGUGAAGGCAAAGAUGGAGGACCUGUCCUACAGUCAUGAGUACCAAAGGCAUUGGAUCUACACCCCCAAGGCCAGGAACCUGCCCCAAGGACCUCUCAGGAAGGAGCUGUGUCCAGAGGGUAGUAUAGCCACAAUUGUGGUGGUGGCGGGGAGGGGACCAGAAGAAUUUUCAGAAGACUGACCCAGUGGAGCAGAGCCAGGAGAAUCAGAAAGAAAUGGGUUCAGGGACCUGAGGACAAUGGGGACCCCUGGAACAAACCAUGCCUGAAGCUGGCAAGACUCUCUUUGAACUUUUUAAUAAUUGGUUCAUUCAAUGAUGUUACCUUAGACCAAGCUAAGUGCUCUAUCAUUUACAAUCAAAAGAAGUUUAACUGAUGCAAUCAGGGAACUCAGAAAAGGAGGGAAUGCCACCCUACCCUAUUAGGUCACCAAGCAGCCAGUCUAUCCCCACACCCACAAACUCAACAGGGAAAGGAGGAAGUAGGGGCUUAUUUGCAACAGGAACCAGAAUAAACCCCCUGGUGCUCAGUCUGGUUUCCAGGGUGAGUCAAGGGUUAAAUAGAUCUAUUGGAACAGGUCCUAAUCUCUGCCCCUCUGCGCACCCCCCUCAAAGGGCUCAGCUCUCCAUCCCUUUGCUCAGCUUCCUCUCCCCAAAUGUCAUGCAAAUUAUCCUACAGCAGCCUUUGACAGGUCCUGCUGAGUUAACUGCAGCUGGCUGCUGAAUCCUUAGAAG